CUGGGGAUGUCCACACCCUCCAUCUGUCUCACCAUCCCCGCAAUUUAGUGAACCAACAUAUGGGUUGGCAUUCAUACCACCAUCAUUUAACUAUUUGAGUUUUCCGCAAUAUCCCCCUUGUCCGUCGCGGGGGGGUUACCCCACCUGGGUUGCCUGAAACCACACUUCACCACCUAAUUAUGGGUGAGCUUUUUUCCUUCAUUUUACUUUUAUUUUGUUAUUGCAUUGUAUUACUAUGGCUAUUGUUGAAUUUAUCAUAUUUGCAUAACAUUAAUUGUAUUUAAUUGCUUUAUAGAUUGGUUCUCUUGAGAAAGCGGUUUCACCGCGAAACUAGUCGAGGCAUAGACCAGUCUAUAUGUUUGCAACAACAAAAUUGCCCGGGGGUACUCCCUGAGGUCCUGUCUUUUCAAUUUUACCAUGUAUUCUUUGUUCAACAAUUGUAUGUAAUAAAAUAUAUUUUUAUAUUA